GGUCUUGUGCGUAAAUUAGGCGUUCGCACACCGAAGACGACCAUAUGUCUGAUCCAAUCCACGACUGAGAUUGGGUGAGCGAAUUAAAUAAAAUCUAUUGAUUACCGUUUUAUAUGAGUUAGCAUUUACGGAUGAAGUUAAUAAUUUGUAAUGUUGUUGCUUGUAUAGGAGCGUGAUCCAGUUGAUCGACGAUCACCUCCGUCGAGGGCAUCACCACCUCCGCCGGAGAUGCCGCCGACAGCAUCUCAUCCUCCGCCAGAGAUGCCGCCGACGGCAUCUCCUUCGUCGUUGAAAGCAUCUCCUCUGCCUCCCCCGUCCAAAGACCUCUCACGUGGAUCUCCCGCACGUAGUCAGGGCACUAUUUUGAUGAUCUGUACGCUCGUCUAAGCAGAUUUAUAGAGGGGCAGGUCGACGGGCUGCGUCGAGAGAUGAUAGAGAGGGUUGAUGAUCUGGGACGACAGUUGGUAGGAAGGGUCGAAGGUUUGUCGAAUGAGAUUGCAACACUUAGGGGUGAUAUAGCCGGUAGGCGAUGAGUUGACGGAGACGGUGAUCGAGAGGGUGAUCGAGAGGGUGAUAGGGAUGGGGUGAUAGAGAUGGGGGUCUCCGACAGUCAUACAUACAUGAUGACGAUGCAUGAGACUCGUUUAUUUUAUCCGUAGAGCGCGAUGGGACGGGAGUAGUGACAGAGGAGGGGGGCCCGUCGGGGAGGGAGACGGAGGCAGAUGAGGGAGUGGCCCCGUCGGGGACGGAGACGGUGGCAGAUGUGGGAGUGGCUCCGUCAGGGACGGAGACGAAGGCAGAUGUUGGAUCGGCAGAUGAGGGGAUGGAGGAUGUGGCGAGCCUUGGGGUGGAGGAGGUGGCAGUGUAUCAGGCAAAAAAGCGUGUUGUUGACAUGCCGGAGACAGUGGUCGGCAAGAGACCGAGAGUGCUGUCACAGUACGUCGUCUCUUCCUUCACGGCUGAGGCGAAGAGGAGGAGGUUCGUCGAUGGGACGUACCCCAAUCUGUUUCGAGAGGUCAACCAUGCGAAGUGGGAAGCAUUCGAGGCUGAGUGGCGAAGAAUGUUGCCCGGGUAAGUAUUGUAUGAUUUAGUAGAUUAGAAUUACUCAUAUAUGCUUCGUUUAACGUUUUUUCUAUUUUAUUUUCAGAGCCACACACAUGAUAGUCGGAAGGACGAUAUUUGACGCAUGCAAGUGGUUCCAUGAUAUCACCACUUAGGGGGCUUGGCUCGUCUACGAUGUAAGUGAAGUGUUAAUGUUACUUUUUAUAUACGUUAUGUUUAAUUUGGUAAAUGAAAUAAGUAUUUAUGUCUUUGUUUUCCUUAAUGUAGCACAUAGACAUGGCCAUGGACUUGUUGCGCGAUCGAGUUAAGAGAUAUCCAAAAUCAUUUCACAAGCCUAGCCGCAUUAUACUGAACACCGAGUUCUUCCGUACCGUUACUAUUGAGUAUCUGUCCCUCCAGCUUCUAGGUAACGAGUACGUGCUUCCAGCGUAUAUGCUCAAGUGGAUCAUCGGGCCGUCACCGAGUGUUGGGGAAAAGUCAUGGAAGGGUUGUACGCAUUUGUACAUUCCAGUUAUCACGAAUCGACACUGUAUUGCACUGGAGAUCGUUUUCACUGAUUCGACGAUAUAUGUGUACAACCCCGAUUAUUCAUAUCUGACACAGGGACAGCUCGAGCAGAUCUUAGAGCUGAUGACUGUGAUUGUUCCUAUGAUGGCUAGACAUGCGGGCUUGUCUGGGAUGACAAACUAGCCAUCGUGCGGGACAUGACGACGACUAGACAGUCUAUAUCGUAAGUUUUUGUAAUCUUUUUUUUUUAAAUUUAGUAAUCAAUUCUUACGUAAUUGGAACCGAACUAACACAUAUUUGUUCAUUUGCAGGGGCGAUUGUGGGAUUUUCGCAAUCAAAUACAUAGAAUUUUUUAGUAUAGCACAUAAGGUUGAUGGAAUCAACCAAUCAUGGAUACAGAAUUGGCGAAAUAAGUUAGCG
rnacentral:lncRNA from 1 species